AACGCAGCGAAGGGCGAUACGUAAUGUGAAUUGCAGAAUUCUGUGAAUCAUCGAAUCUUUGAACGCACAUUGCACUCCUUGGUAUUCCGAGGAGUAUGCCUGUUUCAGUAUCAUGAGCACUCUCACACCUAACCUUUGGGUUUAUGGCGUGGAAUUGGAAUGCGCCGACUGUCAUGGUUGGCCCUUCUAAAAUGUAGUUCUUAACUGUCACCUAAUACAGCAGUUUGGCCUAAUAGUUUUGGCAUUCAUUGUCAAAUCUUUGGCUAACAUUUGCUCCAGGAGUCAGUCUUGAUAAUACAGAAAACUCAUUCAAAUUUUGAUCUGAAAUCAGGUAGGGCUACCCGCUGAACUUAA
rnacentral:rRNA from 1 species